rnacentral:tRNA from 1 species
GAGAGAUGACCGAGUGGUUGAUGGUGCCGACCUGGAACGUCGGUUUUGUGAAAGCAAACGGGGGUUCGAAUCCCCCUCUCUCC